CAUGCUAUUGCCAUGAGCGUGAGCAUUCAAUUCACAUAGACGUUACAUAGAUUCGUUGUCGGAGAGCGGCAGACUCGACGAUUUCAGUUUGAAAAGUUGUGCGUUCGAGCUUGGGUGUAUUCAGAGGCAACGUUGUGAUUAUUACUUCGAUUCGCUCGUCGAUUGUGAUAAUCUGGCAUUCAAAUGAUGAAUCUACAGGGACUUCACAAACCCAAAUCUCCCUACAGAGUAGAAAGGCAGGCCUUCACAACCUGGAUAUGGUGAUGGAGGAAACAUGUAUGCUGCUCAAGGUUCUGGAGCCAGGACAUGUGAUAACUAUUUUAAACUGCUUUGGUUGGUCUGGUUUGUUUGUCAUAUUUUGUCAUUUGUUAAUGUACUAAUGUUUGUCCUAUUUUCCUCUUUCCAACUGGAUUUCCGCGGGUGGGUAUUUUUC